rnacentral:rRNA from 1 species
AAUGAACGCUGGCGGCAUGCCUAACACAUGCAAGUCGAACGAAGGCUUCGGCCUUAGUGGCGCACGGGUGCGUAACGCGUGGGAAUCUGCCCUCAGGUUCGGAAUAACAGCGAGAAAUUGCUGCUAAUACCGGAUGAUAUCGCGAGAUCAAAGAUUUAUCGCCUGAGGAUGAGCCCGCGUAGGAUUAGCUAGUUGGUGUGGUAAAGGCGCACCAAGGCGACGAUCCUUGGCUGGUCUGAGAGGAUGAUCAGCCACACUGGGACUGAGACACGGCCCAGACUCCUACGGGAGGCAGCAGUGGGGAAUAUUGGACAAUGGGCGAAAGCCUGAUCCAGCAAUGCCGCGUGAGUGAUGAAGGCCUUAGGGUUGUAAAGCUCUUUUACCCGGGAUGAUAAUGACAGUACCGGGAGAAUAAGCUCCGGCUAACUCCGUGCCAGCAGCCGCCGCGG